AUUGAACGCUGGCGGCAGGCCUAACACAUGCAAGUCGAGCGGAUGAAGGGAGCUUGCUCCUGGAUUCAGCGGCGGACGGGUGAGUAAUGCCUAGGAAUCUGCCUGGUAGUGGGGGAUAACGUCCGGAAACGGGCGCUAAUACCGCAUACGUCCUGAGGGAGAAAGUGGGGGAUCUUCGGACCUCACGCUAUCAGAUGAGCCUAGGUCGGAUUAGCUAGUUGGUGGGGUAAAGGCCUACCAAGGCGACGAUCCGUAACUGGUCUGAGAGGAUGAUCAGUCACAUGGGAACGGAGAACGGGCCAAGACUCUUAGGGAGGGAGGAGGGGGGGAUUUUUGGAGAAGGGGGGAAGGCCGGAUCCAGCAAGCCGGGGGGUGGGAAGAGGUUUUUGGGAUUGUAAAACAUUUUAGGUGGGGAGGAAGGGCAGUAAGUUAAUACUUUGUUUUUUUGACUUUACCAACAAAAAAAGCCCCGGCUAACUUCGUG
rnacentral:rRNA from 1 species